rnacentral:tRNA from 1 species
GGACGAUUGGCCCAGUUGGUAGGGCGCCUCGUUCACAUCGAGGAGGUCGCAGGUUCGAGCCCUGCAUCGUCCA